rfam:Callithrix jacchus chromosome 15, whole genome shotgun sequence
GACUAGUCCAAUGGUAGUGGGUUAUCAGGACUUAUUAACAUUAGUGUCACUAAAGUUGGUAUACAACCCUACAGUGCUAAAUUUGACUGGCUUUAA